AAGAGAAUUAUACAAAAUAAACUCCCCCUCAUUCUCCUCCAUCAUCUUCACCACCUCAUCUUGGGAUGAAUCAAAUCGUAUUAGGACAGGUUUUGGAUGUCCCAGCAACGUACAAAGACAGAAGAAGGAAGAAGAAAAGGACAGAUCCAGCGAUAAGUACCCCCGUUCGGAAAUUAACCAUUUGUUCCUUUCUAGGUAAAAUACAUCCCCUUCCAUGUAACAUCCCUCCUCCGGUCUUCCUCAAACAAUAAUAUUCCUUUCCCUUCCUCAGGAUCUGCUCAAACCAUUCUUCGGAAUCAGAAAUAUCUACAUCUGAUUCAUAAGCCGUUAACCAAGACAACUCUGAUAUAUUCCUUAUGUUACUCUGAGAAUCCCUAAUUUGAGGUAUCCCUGUUCUUUUAUUUUUGAUAUUAAUAGGAACCUACAAAUACCUCAUAUAUGUAUUUUCCACCUCUGAUUUAAUUUCCCUCAGAAAUCUCCUAGAGUAACCCCUCUUUCUUAGGGAUGAAAACAAAACCCCAAUUGCUUCUUGCACAUGCUCCUUGUCUGUAUUAAUUUUAUAGAACCUGAUCAGCUGGGAUUUGACUAUACCCCUAAAGGUAUGUUUAGGAUGAUAACUCCCCUUCUGUAAAAGAGCAUGAGUAUCGGUACUUUUAAAAUGUACCUUAGCACAUAUUUGUUUCUGAAGUUCCGAAAUACCCCUAAAAUACACCUGAGUGUCCAAAAAGGUUAAGGACUCCAUACUUAAUUCUGCUGUUACUUUAAUGGUCUUAUGAAUAUUAUUCAGAGUAUCCACAAACUCAUGAAAUUCUCUCUCUGUAUACAACCAAAUCCCAAAAAUAUCAUCCAAGUACCUCAGAUACAAACAUGGUCACCUGUGACAUUUUGAGAAGGCCUCCUCCUCGCAUCUAGCCAUAUAAAUAUUAGCAUAAGAUGGGGCGUAUCUUUUCCCCAUCGCUGUUCCGUAGGUUUGUAAAUACAGACUCCCAUUAAAUUCAAAUUUGUUUGUUGUUAGAUUCAAUUUCAACAAAUUCAUUAAGUAUUCAUCAGGUCUAUCGCUAUCCGGAUAUUGUUCUAAAGUCUUUUUUACUGCUUCCAUACCCAAAUCUAUACUAAUGUUGUUAUAGAGGGAUUCCACGUCCAUGGAGAACAUGAAGGCCCCUUCUGAAAAAGAUCGAUCCCUAAUCAACUGCAAAAAAUGAUACGUGUCUCGCACAAAACUAUUGUGUUGACAAGCCAAUGGAUUAAGAUAAAAUUCAAUCCAUUCCGAAACCCUAUAUGAUUCAGAACUACAAUCAGAAAUAAUUGGUCUACCCGGUGGAAUCUGAAACGGGAUAGUCCACGUCUCUUGUUUCUUAUGCACUUUAGGUAAUAGAUAAAAUUUCUGUACUGAAGGAUCCGGUGGCCCUGCCAAAUAUCAUUUCUGUUGAGCCGAUAUAUAGCCGUCCUCCUGAAUCCUGUCUAACACCUUAAUCAUUUUAGUAUGUAUUUUGUCCCGAUUAGUUUUUUUAAGAGGUCUAUAAUGAAGUUGGUUAGACAAUUGAUGUUUGGCCUCCAAGAUCUACUGUUCCCUAUCCAUAAUAAUGGUCAAGGACCCUUUGUCUGCCGGUUUUAUAAUAAUUCGCUUAUUGUUUACCCUAAGAUACUCCAGAGAAGAUCUCUCAGCUUUUGUCAAAUUAUCUGGAGCCCCAGGAACUAGCUGCAUCUUUGCUAAGUCUUGUUUAUCAUCCUUUAUUAACUCUAAGAUAACCUGACUCAAUUUCUGGUUCUUGGGUUCCCAAUGAGAAGGCUCGACAAAGGUCUUUGGCGCCUGGCCUACCUCAUAUUCAAAAUAAUCUAAAAGCUUCAACCGACGAUGGUACUUAUAUACAUCCCUCCUAAUUUCAUCUAAGUCCAUUUUUACCGAUACUGGUACAAAAGUAAGCCCUUUUUGUAAAAGGGAUAUAUCUGAUUAUGCUAAUCUGAAAUUAUGAUUUAAAUUAAAAAUAUUACAUUCAGCUGAUAUGAACCUAUAUGAUUCUUGUAACAAAUCCAGACACUCUAGUCAAUGAUCAGCUAUAAAGAAGGACUGUUCCAGUGUCCAAUGCAAUUUAUCAUCCGGUUCCAAUUCUGCAUCACCUUGUCCCAGACUUUCUAUCACUUUCACCCCUGAUAAUAAAACUAACUUCUCAUUUAGUUGACAUAUCCUGGUGCAAACAUCUUCCGAUUGAUCCUUAACUGAGUAAGGAAUCUUAGCUAUAUAGAUACUAGCCCGUGGAAAUUUAUCUCUCAAAAUUGAAACCAAUGAUUGAACAUUGGGAAAUUGUAUGUCUACCAGUUUGUUCCCUAUUGCAAUCAUUUAAGCCAAUACAUACCAAAACCUUCAGUACUUUCCUAUCUAUUUUUUUAAUCCUACCUAUUACCUCCACCAGAUCCCUUACCCCUGCUCCCGGAAAACUAAAUGCCUCUAGUUGAUCCUGUCUAUAAUGUGGAAUUCUUGAGAUGUUAGAAUCCCCCAAUAUUAUGAAUGGUUUAGUAAUCUCUGGGAUUACCUUCUUAUCUUUCCGCCAAUCCCCCAACCUUAUAGGACGAUCCACAAUCUCAAUUUUAAAAAUAUCAUUCUGACUCUUAUUAAUGAUGGGAUCAGUUUGGGAUGUUGAAUCACCCCCAUUAUCUGGUGUCAACUCAUCCACUAUCAUCUUUUCUCCAUCCAUCGGUGUAGCUAUUACCUCCAAUUCUAUUGUAUUUAAAUACGUCUGUCCACCCUCACCAGAUGAAGUCCCUAUAACAGAAGGAUCAUGUACACAAGUUACCACCUGAUCUGUUGUUAAUUGCUCCCCCAUCGUCCUAAAUUCCUCUAUUCAUAGAUUUGCUAAAGAAUCUGUCCGUCCCUCGACUAAUCUUUGUCCUGUAAUCCCUUCCAUAUUUAAAUAGUUUUCCUGUUUUUCUAAUUCUCCAUUCCUCCCCAGUUUACUUUGAAUCCGAUCUCUCCCGUCCUCAAGAGAGGCUAUUCCUUUCUCCUCUCUCCCUGUUUGCUCCAAGGUCGUCCCAUCGGUAAGUAUCAAUCCAACCUGAUUUAUUUUCAUUUUAUUAACUUCUAAUCCUUUUUCUCCCACAGGUUCCCGUGAUUCCAGAUCCCGCAUACCCGGAGUAAAUACGUAUGUAGAUAUGGCACUUAUCUAGUGCCAGGUUGCUCCCCUGUAUAUGGAAGUCAUCCUGGAUAAAAGAACAUUGGAAACAUCAGGUGGAAAGAUUCUCUCAUCAUAUUGGAUGGCCAGCACAGACUCCACUAUAGAAAAACCCAGGAGUGGGUAGGCGGUCAGUUGGCCGAGGUCUCCAGGACUGUCACUCUGUGUGACUUUUUGUCUUCUCCAGUUGAGCUUCUCUGUUAUCAAUUGGCCAUAGCUCAUCAAUUAAUUAAUGGACAGAUAUUGUUGACGUCUCUUUAAGUGUAAUCAGUUUCCACCUUGUUUUCAUGUGUUUUAACAACAAUUUUUAUGUGUACGAAUUCUGAGUUUAGUAAUUAAUAUAAUCUAUGCUUCUGUUUUAAUGGAGAAUUGUACACAACGCUCUGCACCUGUGCUCAGUACUAUACAAAAAUAGGGUGAUUUGUAUUGAAUUUCCACUUUGGAGCCACGAUGAGCCCACCCUUCCACUUAAAACCUCUGAGUGCCAGAGGACAUUGUCUUCAAAGGCCUAAUCUUCAUGAGGACCACCUCCUUGAGGACUGAAAUAACGCGUCAAUCUACCAGGUGUACUUUUUAAAACCAAAUCUAGUUUCAUUUAGACAUUAAACAGAUACUCAUUUGUUCCCCAACCCUUUAGUUUGUCUUGUUACUUUUUUUUUUAAAUUUUGAAAAAUGAGCACAGGUAAUAAAAGUUACCCACUAUAUGUAAUAAACACUACAACACUAAACAGUCACCUGGAUAGGAGAGACAGGGCCAAUGAAGUUGUGCCUUUGUGUCACAAGCUUUCCAAAAGUUACUAAAUUAUUGUCUUUAUAUGACAUCCUUCUGAGCAUUAAUUUGCCAGUUUCUGCCCUUAGUCACAGCUGCAAAAUUUUUGGGACAACAAUUUUGGAAACAAAAAUUAAAUAAAAAGAUGCUCCCAUGAGGUGAAUUACAAGACAAGAAUGAUGUUAAUGAUGGAUAUUAUUUUGAACUUAACAAAGAUGAGGAAGGCACAAGACUUUCAUCUAUUCUGAUGAUUUCACUUCCUUCCCAAAAAGAGAUGUAUUGGUACUCAUCUGUGAAGAAGUCAGGGCGCAACAUAUAAUCACCUUCUUUGGUGGAAG